rnacentral:rRNA from 1 species
UUGAUCAUGGCUCAGAUUGACACGCUGGCUGUGCAGGCCUAACACAUGCAAGUCGAGCGGCAGCACAAGUGAGUUUACUCAUGAGGUGGCGAGCGGCGGACGGGUGAGUAAUGCCUAGGGAUCUGCCCAGUCGAGGGGGAUAACAGUUGGAAACGACUGCUAAUACCGCAUACGCCCUACGGGGGAAAGAGGGGGACCUUCGGGCCUCUCGCGAUUGGAUGAACCUAGUGGGAUUAGCUAGUUGGUGAGGUAAUGGCUCACCAAGGCGACGAUCCCUAGCUGUUCUGAGAGGAUGAUCAGCCACACUGGGACUGAGACACGGCCCAGACUCCUACGGGAGGCAGCAGUGGGGAAUAUUGCACAAUGGGGGAAACCCUGAUGCAGCCAUGCCGCGUGUGUGAAGAAGGCCUUCGGGUUGUAAAGCACUUUCAGUAGGGAGGAAAGGUUGUAAGUUAAUACCUUGCAGCUGUGACGUUACCUACAGAAGAAGGACCGGCUAACUCCGUGCCAGCAGCCGCGGUAAUACGGAGGGUCCAAGCGUUAAUCGGAAUUACU